AGUCUAGCUUUUCAGAUUCGGUACUAUAUAGCCAGCUAAUUAUAAAUAUGUCAAGUCAGUAUUAUAUUGGGUUACCAGUCGUAGAAAAUAGCCGUUAUUUGGAAAAACUAAAUUGCUUUAACUUUACGUUACCAGACCCGUUCAACAAAAUGUUGAGACAAGAAUGUUUUUCUACGGACCUGUCUGAUUUACCGGAGAUCAGUCAGGUGCAUAUCUUUGAAUACUUGGUCGAGAGGGAAUGUGUCUAAUCAAGAGAGGCGUUCAAGGUAUAUCGCAGCUUGGAUUCCUACAAGUAUUUCCACUCUGGAAAAGUCAAAAGCAUCCUUACGUAUAGGAAUGGAAAUAUCUGUGUGGUUUACGGGGCAAUCGAGGCAGGUCAGAUGCUUUCCAAGCGCUACUCCGCCUGGAUUGAUGCGACGAAGUCCGGCGAAGUCCAAAGCGGGCUUUGCACUUGCAUGGCAGGCAAUGGAGAGGUGUGUUGCCAUGUAGGCACGAUUUUGAUUACUGUGGAGCAGUGUGUCCAGGAUGGACUGCAGAGUGGCCUUCUGUCACCUCAAAACCAAGUGUUUGGUCACGGGUGACUAAGAAGAUUUUUCAGGCUGAUCCACAACCUGUUGUUCAAUGCAAUUUCAUCAAACCUGGCAAGAAGCGGCAAUAAGCUCCCCUCUGUCUUCCCCUGCUAAGUUCAUGUGGGUCACCUAAAAAACUUUUGAAAGCCCUGAAGGUAAGGUAUAGUCCACAUAUGCCCAACAAAUACACAAGUUAGCCUAAUGUAAAAUAUUCAGUACUAUAUAGGAUAUAGUAUGUGGCAGUGUAGGCGAGUAAGGUCUUUUCACCAUUUCUUUUAGGAAGUUGUGCCAGACUGUGCUCUCUUUUCGGUCAUGUGUGACAGCAGUGAGACAGACACAGCCUCUGAGGCAGGUAGUCAGGAUUUCACCAGCAGUCAGGGAGAGCAGGAUGUGCAGAGAGAGGAACCUGACGUGUUCAGCAGCUAAGCUCAGCCCCAUAGUGAACAUGGUAGUGCUCUGAGUUGUCAAAAGUGCAUGACAUUUUAUGAUGUCUUCAUUAAACUGAGCCCUGAGCAAGUGGUGGAACUUGAAAGAAACACCAGAAAACAGAGCAUAGAACCACUGUGGCGUGAUGCACGCAAGCUGCGCAUAACAGCAAGCAGAGCCAGCAAGGUGCCUCAGCGAGAGACAACUGACCCAGCUAAGUUUCUUGCUGAACACCUCUACCCUAUGGAAGCAA